UACAGAGACUGCAAGCGUUAUUCGGAUUCACUGGGCGUAAAGGGUGCGCAGGCGGUUGGGUGUGUCAGAUGUGAAAUCCCGAGGCUUAACCUCGGAACUGCGUCUGAAACUACUCGACUAGAGUACUGGAGAGGGAAACGGAAUUCACGGUGUAGCAGUGAAAUGCGUAGAUAUCGUGAGGAACACCAGAGGCGAAGGCGGUUUCCUGGACAGUUACUGACGCUCAGGCACGAAAGCAUGGGGAGCAGAAGGG
rnacentral:rRNA from 1 species